CCCCUAGAUGUUCUGGGCCGCACGCGCGCCACACUGAACAGUUCAACAAGUCUUAACCUUGGCCGAUAGGUCUGGGUAAUCUUUGAACGCUGUUCGUGAUUGGGAUAGACCUUUGCAAUUAUGGGUCUUCAACGAGGAAUUCCUAGUAAACGCAAGUCAUCAGCUUGCAUUGAUUACGUCCCUGCCCUUUGUACACACCGCCCGUCGCACCUACCGAUUGAAUGGUCCGGUGAAAUCUCGGGACGGCGGCUCGGUCGCUUGCGUCCGACUGCUGAAACUUGAUUAAACCAUAUCAUUUAGAGGAAGGUGAAGUCGUAACA
rnacentral:rRNA from 1 species